UGCAAGACGAAGGUGCAGAAAGGAUUAUAGAUUUCUCUCCGUGCAUUCGAGAUCAGAGGCAGAAGAGAUGGUUUCUCCAGACAGCGGACGCUCCCCAUCAAUUCCCCAGCCUUCGGGAUUCUUUCUGUGGCUGCCGAGGACUGACAGCAGCCCCCUUUCUGGGUGAUACCUGCAUGGGAUUGUAACCCUCUGACUCCCAGUGCUAACUCCAGCCCGAAACCCCAGCCUUUUCAAUGCAGUCUUGGGGAUUUUCUUCCGCUCGGUCAAGUUACACGCGUGCUAUAAAUGCCUGCAGGACAGAGAACUCCUGAAUCUCGCCUUGGGAUGCCUUUGCACGCAGAGAGGAGUCUUCGCUUAAGAUGGGCAAUAAGCAGACGAUCUUUACAGACGAACAGCUGGAUGCUUAUCAGGACUGCACUUUCUUUACCCGGAAGGAUAUCCUUAAGUUGCAUGGCCGAUACCACGAACUAGCGCCAAACCUGGUACCAAUGGACUAUAAGAGAGACCCAGGUGUGACUGUACCUAUGCAGCUCAUCGUAAAUAUGCCGGAGCUAAAGGUAC